GACGAACGCUGGCGGCGUGCCUAAUACAUGCAAGUAGAACGCUGAAGGAAGGAGCUUGCUCUUUCUGGAUGAGUUGCGAACGGGUGAGUAACGCGUAGGUAACCUGCCUGGUAGCGGGGGAUAACUAUUGGAAACGAUAGCUAAUACCGCAUAAAAUUGAUUAUUGCAUGAUAGUCAAUUAAAAGGUGCAACUGCACCACUACCAGAUGGACCUGCGUUGUAUUAGCUAGUUGGUGGGGUAACGGCUCACCAAGGCGACGAUACAUAGCCGACCUGAGAGGGUGCUCGGCCACACUGGGACUGAGACACGGCCCAGACUCCUACGGGAGGCAGCAGCAGGGAAUCUUCGGCAAUGGACGGAAGUCUGACCGAGCAACGCCGCGUGAGUGAAGAAGGUUUUCGGAUCGUAAAGCUCUGUUGUAAGAGAAGAACGAGUGUGAGAGUGGAAAGUUCACACUGUGACGGUAUCUUACCAGAAAGGGACGGCUAACUACGUG
rnacentral:rRNA from 1 species